rnacentral:tRNA from 1 species
GGUUUGUGGCUCAGCGGUAGAACGCAUGCCUUGCACGUGAGGCACUGGGUUCGAUCCUCAGCACCA